AUGGUUGGGGCAAGAAGGCAUCUGCAGCCUGGGUCACUGGUAACCUGUCGUAGUGACUGAGCUGACACCAAGCCUUGCUCUGAAGCAGUUCAGAGACUGGAGAUGGGCAGUGUCACCCAUAUCAGGAAUAUUCCCUCAGAUACAGUCAGAAGAAUAUACAAGGAUAAAUGUACAAGGAACAGGAGGCCUGACGUCAAAAGCUCCCCCUCGUGACCAAAUCGACUGGGACUUGUUGGAUCCAAGAUGGCAGCUCACUUGACUUCUGAAGAACCUGGAACUUCAUUAUAAUCAAAUUUCCGUGCUAAAUGACAUUCCCGCGAGCACCAUGACAGUUGACAAUCACCAUGACAAUGACAGAAGAAACCAUAAAAUGACAAAAAGGAAGGCGGCAACUCUGGUUCUGAGUUUUCUGCCCAUUUCCAGAAAAGAUGUGAAUAUUCUUCUCUUUGCUUUUAAUGCCUGACCCUGUCAUUAGAGAUAUUCUGUAUCUGUGACUUCCUGGUUUUCAUAAGCUGAGAAGGUGAUUUGUGAGCCAAUCUCCUGGUUCUCAAUUUCAUGGCCAUUGAAUGAAGCUGGUACUGCUUGAUGCUCA